GGUAAAUAUGAAGAAUACAACAGAAAAUAGAAAGACGAAGAGAUACCAUGGCAUUCUGGAUAGAGAAUUCCCUUCAGAACUAAGAAGACCUGUACUCAAAUUCUGCCUCAUCUAUGUACUGGCUGCCAUGGAAUGCUGGGGAAGUGACUUCACUCUCUCAGUGCCCCAGCCGCAAGAGGGAUGUGCUGAUCCCAGACUGGAAAUGGAUUUUUGGUCAGCCUUAUUUCUCUCUAAGCCCCAGGAUGGGGAAAAUGUGUUAAGAGCUGAACAAUGACAGUGAUAGAAGAGAAACAAGGCUCCGCCCACCCCCAGCAGGAAGCCUCAAUGGGUAUGCAGCCUUUCUGAGAGGCCCAGGAACAAGAAUGGAGAGAAUGGCUAUCAGGAGCCUCUUGGCAUGCCUUCACAUUUGAGAUGGGGAAACUGAGGUCUGGAGAAAAGAAGAGACUUCCUUGGAACAGAUUCCUUCUCCCACUCCAAACUCACACAGACUAGGGCUGAUCAAGUUUAUGGAAUCAUAGAAUUAGGCAGCAGGAAAAAAAAAACUUGACUUCAUAAUUCACUUUGAGAUCAUCUGUGAAGAGCACCUACCCUUCCAGUACUGGCGAUGUAAUAAGUGCUUGAUAACUAACUGGCUGAUUGAUUGCUAUCUGGACUGUCCAGUAAGUGCUUCAUAAACACUCUUUGAUUGAUUGAUAUCCUGAUAUACAAAUGUGCUUAAUAAAUACUUUUUGAUUAAUUGAUCCUGACUAUACAGUAAGUGCUUAAUAAUUGUUUUUGAUUGAUAUCUUGACUAUGCAGUAAGUGCCCAAUAGUUGUUUUUUGAUUGAUAUCCUGGCUAUACAGUAAGUGCUUAAUAAAUGCUUUUUGACUUAUUGAUAUCCUGACUAUACAGUAAGUGGUUAAUUAAUGCUUUUUGAUUGACUAGAUGCCAAGGGUGGUUCCUUUCAGUUCUAGAUCCGUGAUCCUGUGAUCAUGUGGGGAUUAUCGGAGAGGAAUUUAUUCAGGGCAUCCUAAUGUCACAUGCUUCCUGUCUGUUGCCAAAUGACUACGGAGUUGUGCAAAGCUCCUUUCAAAGAAAGUUUUCAAAACCUCAUGUUGCCUCAUGCUCCGGUACCGUCCCAUCACCAGCUUGCCUUCUCUUGCGUGCAGAGUCCUGUCUCCAUUCCCCCAGCUUUCUCCCCAAGAAAAAUCAAGUGAAACCCCAGCUUUACACAAGACAGAAGCUGGCCAAGGGGCCUCCCGGAAGCUUUGCUGAUAGCACGUAACCGGGGCAAGAACCACCACCCACUAAGGACCCAGGGACUGGCACACUCCACCGCCUUUCCCAUGGAAACUGCACCCAAGAACCUGCCAGUACAACAUGGCAGCAGAAGGGAGGGCCAGCCAUCCUCGGGAGCGCUGAUUCCUACAGCCUUUGCACUUCCAGGCAAUUAGUGGCUGGUUCCUGUUACUCCAAGAGCGGAGAGCAUCUUCAACUGGGCGGCCAGUGACAAAGAAGUCUUGUUAUUGUCCAGCUGUGUCUGACUCUUCAUGACCCCAUUUGGGGUUUUCUUGGCAGAGAUCCUGGAGUGGUUUGCCAUUUC